UACGGAGGAUGCAAGCGUUGUCCGGAUUCAUUGGGUUUAAAGGGUGCGUAGGUGGAGAAUUAAGUCAGUGGUGAAAGCUCGCAGCUUAACUGUGAAAAUGCCAUUGAAACUGAUUUUCUUGAGUUCGAUUGAGGUAGAUGGAAUGUAUCAUGUAGCGGUGAAAUGCUUAGAUAUGAUACAGAACACCAAUUGCGAAGGCAGUCUACUAAGUCGAUACUGACGCUGAGGCACGAAAGCAUGGGGAGCAAACGGG
rnacentral:rRNA from 1 species